UAGGGAAUCUUCCACAAUGGACGCAAGUCUGAUGGAGCAACGCCGCGUGAGUGAAGAAGGUCUUCGGAUCGUAAAGCUCUGUUGUUGGUGAAGAAGGAUAGAGGCAGUAACUGGUCUUUAUUUGACGGUAAUCAACCAGAAAGUCACGGCUAACUACGUGCCAGCAGCCGCGGUAAUACGUAGGUGGCAAGCGUUGUCCGGAUUUAUUGGGCGUAAAGCGAGCGCAGGCGGAAUGAUAAGUCUGAUGUGAAAGCCCACGGCUCAACCGUGGAACUGCAUCGGAAACUGUCAUUCUUGAGUGCAGAAGAGGAGAGUGGAACUCCAUGUGUAGCGGUGGAAUGCGUAGAUAUAUGGAAGAACACCAGUGGCGAAGGCGGCUCUCUGGUCUGCAACUGACGCUGAGGCUCGAAAGCAUGGGUAGCGAACAGGAUUAGAUACCCUGGUAGUCCAUGCCGUAAACGAUGAGCGCUAGGUGUUGGGGACUUUCCGGUUCUCAGUGCCGCAGCAAACGCAUUAAGCGCUC
rnacentral:rRNA from 1 species